CGGACCACAAAGUUUGAAUUUAUUAUAAUGGUUUUGUCAGUCAAUUCAGGAAAACAGGGAAACACAUCAUCCUAUUGUGAAUUAAAAACACCAGAAAGAUAAAGCAACGCAGUUUUAAUGUCUCUCAAUUGCACGACAAAUUACAUCGGAGCACAAUUUUAAUUUUUAAACAUCUUUUCGUUUUCAUAAGUCUUAAUACCGAGAUUACAGUAUUAGGUGGGAUAAUUAGGCCAAUUUAUUUUUAAGCUCUGCCAAAACAACAAUUAAAAGCAACAAAACAAAAGGCGGUGCGCGGUGGGGGAGGUUUUGGGCCCGGCGGUGCGCGGCCCCGCGCUCGGCGGGCGGACAAAGGGCGGCGGCGGCGGCGCUCCCGCGGCGCGGCCUGCAGCUCCACCUAGCGCGGGCCUGCAGCGCCCGCUCCGCCGCGCCUGGCCUCCCUGCAGGCCCCGGGCCACGGCCCCGGCUCCUCACUCCUGCCAGGACUCACGUUCCGGGGGUGCUUUCGCCUGCCGUGCAGACACACAGUCUAGAGAGCGCCUCAUUUCUCUACCUGCUUCAGAGACUGAAGUUCUUCUCACCUGACAGCAUCCCCACCAGUGUUCCUGCAACUCAGCCAAGCAGGGAAGACCCACAUGUUUAAAGCUCAUGCUGACCAGCUACCACUCUUACUAGGGAGCACCUGAUCUGUGAUUUUAUAAUUUAUAUUUUGGGUCUUUCUGAAAUGCCUGGCAGCAGAUGUUACAUUGCUCAGGGUACCACCGGCCUCGAGUCAGACACAAUCAUCACUCCAAAAGGAGCUUCAUUGUCUACUCAGUUCAAAGACUCUGUUAAGAGAAAUUAUAAUCUGCAGAGCACUACAGGAUGUUCAUUUGCAAAGUCAGUUGCCUACGUUGUUGCACAGUAAAAAUGCAGGUCAGAAUAGCUGAGUAGAGAUAAAACAUGGAAAGCACAGAUCAAAACUACCUUUACCAUGUGGUAAUAUAGUUGUUAGAUCAGAACUAUGUCUCUGAACUAAAAGAGUCUGCAUCCUGUUAAAAUUCCCACAUCCCCAUGGCAAAUUUUAUUUCCUUUUGAAUUCAGUUGUAAAAAUUGGAAGCAAGGAAAUUCACAGGCCAAAACACUGUCUAGAUAACAUUAAGGGGCAUGUUGCUUCCAAAGCCUUGCGUGGGUUUUAGCCACAUGUCUCCCACUGAUUUUAAUGGGAUUUGCAUGGCUAAAAUCCUGUGCAAUGCUUUGAAAAUGUAUCCCUAAGGGUCUGUCAUGAAUUCAUAAAGCCCCAGAAUUUCUGAGUUAAAACCAAAAUAUAGUGUUGGCUGAUUUUAAAGGCUUGUUACCACUCUCCUAAUUAAAAUACAGCUUAGUUUGGUAAAAGGUCUAUUCUGCUUUGCAUAUAAUGUAUAUGUGUUUAAUAUAAUUCUAGUAUGUGUAUAAUUUAUAUGGUUGUGUUAUUUACACUACAAAAGAGUUGUGUUAUACGCAACUUCUAAUUUUCAUAACACUUUCAUUAUACAUUGGGUAGUAAGCUCCAAACAAUGAAUAAAAUUGCUACUGUUCUUUCA
ensembl:lncRNA